CCGCGACCCGGCCAAUGGACGAUCGGCGCGCGCAGACCCGGAUCAGGAAACACGCGGGGGCGUGAUGGAUAUGGCUCUCCACCCGGGCGGGAGGAGUGAGCAGGAGCUUUGGUGCCUCAACCCCCCAAGUUGGAUUCGGGCUGAGAAGUCGGGGCCUGUUAGGCUGUGGGUCCUGUCGAGCCCUCUUUCUGCCCACAUCUGUCCUAGGCCUCGGGGCAGCUGGUUUCCACGGCUCAGCGCUGACCUCCCGUCCGUCCAGGCCUCGGGUGAUCCUCCGAGGGUUCGAGGCCCUCCAGGAGAGGAAAGGACACUGGGACCAAGAGGCAGACCUUGACUUUUUAUCCUAGCCCUGGAAUAAAACGGAGGAGGCCUACAGACCCAUUUUACUCGUCCGUGGUGUUUCUGUUUUUGUUCUCUACCCGCACCCUGCACCUCCACCGGGCUGCCGGGGGGAGUCCCUUGCGUGGCCCGCCUGGAGCCGCACAGAAAGGAGGCAGAAUUCGUACAGCAUAUUUCAUUUCCGAAUUGGAACCUUUCUAUAUAUGGAGGCGCUGACAAGCUAGCUAAACAAGGCUCCUUGACUGUGGUGAGGCCUCCCCAGGAGUGGGGAUGGAGAGGCGACGCCUGCACACAACCCGGCUUUUGAAUCCAGUAACUUCGCAUUACAGAACAAACCCCAAACAGAAACAAGUUUGACAUAGAAUAAAACCCUUGGCGGGUCUGAUCUUUUUUUCUCUCCUCCUUUUGGGUGUUGUUUCCUCAGGCUGUAUCUGGGGCUAGGGCUAUAUUUACAGGACAGCCUGUGAUUUCUGAAUUGCUGAAAAUUAGCAUAUUAACGAUAUCAGUAGCUCCGGAAAGAAGGGGGGGGGACUGUUGUCUGCCAUUUGGUAAUUGAAAUUUGAUGGGUAAACUAAUUAUGCCAUUAUUGACAAAUAAAUUACUUAUUAAUUCCA